UACAUAGGGGGCAAGCGUUGUCCGGAUUUAUUGGGCGUAAAGAGCGUGUAGGCGGCCAGGUAGGUCAGCUGUGAAAACUCGAGGCUCAACCUCGAGACGCCGGUUGAAACCAUCUGGCUAGAGUGCGGAAGAGGCGAGUGGAAUUCCUGGUGUAGCGGUGAAAUGCGCAGAUAUCAGGAGGAACACCUAUUGCGAAGGCAGCUCGCUGGGACGUAACUGACGCUGAGACGCGAAAGCGUGGGGAGCAAACAGG
rnacentral:rRNA from 1 species